AACGGGGAGGGUCGGGGUUGGGCUUGUACUUACCCAAUCCUAAAGUAACCCAAAAAUGCAAUGAGGAUUAUGUGGCAAUUCAAAUAAAAUUUCUAACUUUUCAGUACAGUAAAAUUCAAUAAUUAAGCAGUACACUAAAAUUAGAAAGGCACGGUACACAAAGCCACACUUGAUUUUGUUAAGCACAAAACUCACCUAUAUUAUAUUGGUUGUACUUCCGGUUGUGUUAUUCUUUAAUUCUGCACAAAACCACACCUACUGUCGUUAUUCAUUUUGCAAUUUGUAAUUGUGGCACACAAUCCUUAUUCUUCCACUCCUUAAUAUGAAGUGCAGAGGAGUCAAUGUGGUUGUUGUAUUCAAUUUGCAACUCAACACUCCUUAAUAAUUUCACGCAUAUCAAUAAGAGUGGGUUCAGGGUAGGG
rnacentral:lncRNA from 1 species